GGCGCGUCUGCGUCGCGGGGGCGGCGGCCUGCUCGGCCGCGGGCGCCGGGUCCGUGGCGAUGUCGGGCCGCACUCCGUCGCGGGUCA
rnacentral:tRNA from 1 species